UCUUGCUAAUAAAUUCUUGUUAAUUUCAGCUUUCUGUGAGUGAAAAAACUGACACUGUGAAGAAGCUGAAGAAAGGAGAGGGUGGAGAGGAAGAAGUGGACAUCGGUGAUGAGAUGCCAAUGAGCAGCUUCCCCCCUGUGGAGAUUGAGAAGGAUGAUGGUGGUCGUGAUAAUGGCCAUGCCUCCAGCAGUUCUAGCAGUUCCAGCAGCUCAGGCAGUGAUUCAUCUUCGUCAAGUGAUUCUGAUUCGGGGAGCUCUUCAGGGAGUGAUUCUGAUGCAGAUGACGCACAGUCACGGGGCCUAAAAUCCAAGGAAUUGUCAAAGACUUGAGGAGGGGAGUUAUGGUAAAUUGU